GAUGAACGCUAGCGGCAGGCCUAAUACAUGCAAGUCGAACGGUGUAGCAAUACACAGUGGCGCACGGGUGCGUAACACGUAUGCAACCUACCUUACAUUGGGGGAUAGCCUUUCGAAAGGGAGAUUAAUACCGCAUAAGACAGUAACUAGGCAUCUAGUAGCUGUUAAAGAUUUAUCGAUGUAAGCUGGGCAUGCGUCCAAUUAGUUAGUUGGCGAGGUAAUGGCUCACCAAGACGAUGAUUGGUAGGGGAACUGAGAGGUCAAUCCCCCACAAGGGCACUGAGAUACGGGCCAGACUCCUACGGGAGGCAGCAGUAGGGAAUAUUGGGCAAUGGGCGAAAGCCUGACCCAGCCAUGCCGCGUGCAGGAAGAAGGCGUUAUGCGUUGUAAACUGCUUUUAUACAGGAAGAAACGACCCUUGCGAGGGGCAUUGACGGUACUGUAUGAACAAGCACCGGCUAACUCCGUGCCAGCCGCCGCCGUAACAC
rnacentral:rRNA from 1 species